rnacentral:misc_RNA from 1 species
GAUGAAGAAACGUAGCGAAAUGCGAUACGUAGUGUGAAUUGCAGAAUUCCGUGAACCAUCGAAUCUUUGAACGCAUAUUGCGCCUGAGGCUUCGGCCGAGGGCAUGUCUGCCUCAGCGUCGGCAUAACCCCAUCACCCACAAAACUUUUGUGAGUGGACUUGGCAGUCCCAGUCCGGGUCUGCCGAAUUGCAGCAGUUGCUAUCAGGACCCGCCUUUGGCGUGGCCAUUCAGUUUGGUAGGUAACCCCUGGUUGCAUGCCACUGUUGGCCAUUGUGGCCUGUUGUAGCAUACUGGCAGGAAACCAAGGGCCUUCAAGCCCUUUCUCAUUUCGACCUGAGGUCAGGCAAGAUUACCCGCUGAACUUAAGCAUAUCAAUAAGCGGAGGA